AACGAACGCUGGCGGCAGGCCUAACACAUGCAAGUCGAACGAGGUAGCAAUACCUAGUGGCGCACGGGUGAGGAACACGUGGGAAUCUCCCUUCUAGUAUGGGAUAACACCGGGAAACUGGUGCUAAUACCGUAUGGUCCCUCCGGGGUAAAGAUUUAUCGCUAGAAGAUGAGCCCGCGUAAGAUUAGCUAGUUGGUGAGGUAAUGGCUCACCAAGGCUACGAUCUUUAGCUGGUCUUAGAGGACGAUCAGCCACACUGGAACUGAGACACGGUCCAGACUCCUACGGGAGGCAGCAGUGGGGAAUCUUGGACAAUGGGGGAAACCCUGAUCCAGCCAUGCCGCGUGAGUGAUGAAGGCCUUCGGGUUGUAAAGCUCUUUUGUGUGGGAAGAUAAUGACUGUACCACAAGAAUAAGCCCCGGCUAACUUCGUGCCAGCAGCCGCAGUAA
rnacentral:rRNA from 1 species